rnacentral:lncRNA from 1 species
UUUUAUAAGAAGCUAAAAUUACGGUGUUACCCAAAGAAUUAUAUUUAAAAUAUGUAAAAUUUUAUUUUAUACUCAUAUUAAAAGCAAUUUAACUAUCGACAGAAAAAUUGAAAUUAGUUUAACUGAUAAAAUACUAUGUGCUAUACAAUUUAUUCAUUCAUAUUAAAAUAAUGUCAGAAUGAAUAAGUAUACAUGUUUUUUAAAAAUAAAAUAAAGCAAAACAAA